AGAGGUUUGAUCCUGGCUCAGAUUGAACGCUGGCGGCAUGCCUAACACAUGCAAGUCGAACGGAAACGAUGGGAGCUUGCUCCCAGGCGUCGAGUGGCGGACGGGUGAGUAAUACUUAGGAAUCUGCCCAUUAGCGGGGGACAACUCGGGGAAACUCGAGCUAAUACCGCAUACGCCCUACGGGGGAAAGCGGAGGACUCUUCGGAGCUUCGCACUAAUGGAUGAGCCUAAGCCGGAUUAGCUAGUUGGUAGGGUAAAAGCCUACCAAGGCGACGAUCCGUAGCUGGUCUGAGAGGACGAUCAGCCACACUGGGACUGAGACACGGCCCAGACUCCUACGGGAGGCAGCAGUGGGGAAUAUUGCACAAUGGGCGCAAGCCUGAUGCAGCAAUGCCGCGUGUGUGAAGAAGGCCUGCGGGUUGUAAAGCACUUUCAGUAGAGAAGAAAAGCCUAGGGUUAAUACCCCUGAGUCUUGACGUUACCUACAGAAGAAGCUCCGGCUAACUCCGUGCCAGCAGCCGCGGUAAUACGGAGGGAGCGAGCGUUAAUUC
rnacentral:rRNA from 1 species